GGCGGACGGGUGAGUAAUAUAUAGGUAAUGUGCCCUAGAGAAGAGGAUAACAGUUGGAAACGACUGCUAAUACUCUAUAUGCCUUUAAGACAAAAGUCUGCAAGGGAAAUAUUUAUAGCUCUAGGAUCGGCCUGUACGGUAUCAGCUAGUUGGUGAGGUAAUGGCUCACCAAGGCAAUGACGCCUAACUGGUUUGAGAGGAUGAUCAGUCACACUGGAACUGAGACACGGUCCAGACUCCUACGGGAGGCAGCAGUGGGGAAUAUUGCACAAUGGGGGAAACCCUGAUGCAGCAACGCCGCGUGGAGGAUGACACAUUUCGGUGCGUAAACUCCUUUUAUAUAGGAAGAUAAUGACGGUACUAUAUGAAUAAGCGCCGGCUAACUCCGUGCCAGCAGCCGCGGUAAUACGGAGGGCGCAAGCGUUACUCGGAAUCACUGGGCGUAAAGAGCGUGUAGGCGGGUUAAUAAGUUUGAAGUGAAAUCCUAUGGCUCAACCAUAGAACUGCUUUGAAAACUGUUAACCUAGAAUAUGGGAGAGGUAGAUGGAAUUUCUGGUGUAGGGGUAAAAUCCGUAGAGAGAGAGAAGGAAUACCGAUUGCGAAGGCGAUCUACUGGAACAUUAUUGACGCUGAGACGCGAAAGCGUGGGGAGCAAACAGGAUUAGAUACCCUGGUAGUCCACGCCCUAAACG
rnacentral:rRNA from 1 species